rnacentral:rRNA from 1 species
GGGGAAUAUUGCACAAUGGGGGAAACCCUGACCCAGCGACGCCGCGUGAGGGAAGACAGCCUUCGGGUUGUAAACCUCUGUUGCAGGGGAAGAAGGACGUGACGGUACCCUGCGAGGAAGCUCCGGCUAACUACGUGCCAGCAGCCGCGGUAAUACGUAGGGAGCGAGCGUUGUCCGGAAUUACUGGGCGUAAAGGGCGCGUAGGCGGCGCUUCAAGUCGUCUGUCAAAAGCCGAGGCUCAACCUCGGUGCGCAGACGAAACUGGAGAGCUUGAGAAGCAGAGAGGCAAACAGAAUUCCUGGUGUAGCGGUGAAAUGCGUAGAUAUCAGGAAGAAUACCAGUGGCGAAGGCGGUUUGCUGGCUGCAUACUGACGCUGAAGCGCGAAAGCCAGGGGAGCAAACG